GACGAACGCUGGCGGCGUGCCUAAUACAUGCUAGUAGAACGCUGAAGGAGGAGCUUGCUCUUCUGGAUGAGUUGCGAACGGGUGAGUAACGCGUAGGUAACCUGCCUGGUAGCGGGGGAUAACUAUUGGAAACGAUAGCUAAUACCGCAUAACAUUGACUAUUGCAUGAUAGUCAAUUGAAAGGUGCAAAUGCACCACUACCAGAUGGACCUGCGUUGUAUUAGCUAGUUGGUGGGGUAACGGCUCACCAAGGCUACGAUACAUAGCCGACCUGAGAGGGUGAUCGGCCACACUGGGACUGAGACACGGCCCAGACUCCUACGGGAGGCAGCAGUAGGGAAUCUUCGGCAAUGGACGGAAGUCUGACCGAGCAACGCCGCGUGAGUGAAGAAGGUUUUCGGAUCGUAAAGCUCUGUUGUAAGAGAAGAACGAGUGUGAGAGUGGAAAGUUCACACGGUGACG
rnacentral:rRNA from 1 species